UACGUAGGGGGCAAGCGUUGUCCGGAAUCAUUGGGCGUAAAGAGCGCGUAGGCGGUCCGGUAAGUCCGCUGUGAAAGUCAAAGGCUCAACCUUUGAAUGUCAGCGGAUACUGCCGGGCUAGAGUCCGGAAGAGGCGAGUGGAACUCCUGGUGUAGCGGUGGAAUGCGCAGAUAUCAGGAAGAACACCAACGGCGAAGGCAGCUCGCUGGGACGGAACUGACGCUGAGGCGCGAAAGCGUGGGGAGCGAACAGG
rnacentral:rRNA from 1 species